UAUUCAUUUUUGGUGGCACUCGCAGCAAGCAAGCUUUCCUCGAAGCAAAAAUAUUAUGGCGGGCGGCGGCGGCGUCUUUGUCUUCGACAUCACCCACAACGACGCCGGAGAGGUCGUAAAAUUUCAACAUCUUCAUCUCCAAGAAAGGAUUUAGCAGUGUAUAAGUUGAUUGAGAUGAAACUUUUUUGCUCAGCAACAAGAUCUUCAGGUACUAAAUUGUAUAUUAACCCUAAUGUUAAUUUGUUUUAUGAUCUUUAGUGAUGAAAUAUCAUUCGUGACUCAAUCAGGGAAACACUUGUUGUUUGAAAUAGAUAUGCAGGUAGAAGUAAAAAGGUCAAAUUCUGGUUU